rnacentral:tRNA from 1 species
GGAAGGGUGGCAGAGUGGUCGAAUGCGCCGGAUUCGAAAUCCGGUGAUGCGCAUUGCGUAUCCGUGGGUUCGAAUCCCACCCCUUCCGCCA